rnacentral:rRNA from 1 species
AACGAACGCUGGCGGCAGGCUUAACACAUGCAAGUCGAACGCAUCCUUCGGGGUGAGUGGCAGACGGGUGAGUAACGCGUGGGAACGUGCCCUUCAGUUCGGGAUAACCCAGGGAAACUUGGGAUAAUACCGGAUACGUGCGAGAGCAGAAAGAUUUAUCGCUGAAGGAUCGGCCCGCGUUUGAUUAGCUAGUUGGUGGGGUAAUGGCCCACCAAGGCGACGAUCAGUAGCUGGUCUGAGAGGAUGAACAGCCACAUUGGGACUGAGACACGGCCCAACCCCCUACGGGAGGCAGCAGUGGGGAAUAUUGGACAAUGGGCGCAAGCCUGAUCCAGCCAUGCCGCAUUAGUGAUGAAGGCCUUAGGGUUGUAAAGCUCUUUCGUCCGGGACGAUAAUGACGGUACCGGAAGAGGAAUCCCCGGCUAACUUCGUGCCAGCCGCCGCCGUAA